rnacentral:rRNA from 1 species
UAUAUAUGUUUAUUAUUAAUUAUUUAUAUAAUACUUAUUAUUAAUAUAAGAAAUUCUUUAUAGUAUAUAUCUUUAAAUAUAGAGAUAGAAAAAUUUAAAUAUUAAAAAGUAAGUAUAU